AUAUUACUCCCUCCAUCCCAAAAUUCUUAUCUUAGAUUUGUCUAAAUACGGAUGUAUUAAGUCACAUUUUAGUAUUAGGUACAUCCAUAUCUAGACAAAUUUAAGGCAAGAAUUUUGGGACGGAGGGAGUACAAG
rfam:Triticum aestivum genome assembly, contig: Triticum_aestivum_CS42_TGACv1_scaffold_433455_5DL